rnacentral:piRNA from 1 species
ACAAAGACUUUUGUAUGGAAUGUUCAAGGU